CACUGAAACACCAGUUCUCUUACGAUCACCGAAGUCAAGCAACGUCGAGCUUGGUUAAUACCAAGAUGGGUGACCGCUUGAGGAUACCUGGUGAUGUA